rnacentral:rRNA from 1 species
GACGAACGCUGGCGGCGUGCCUAAUACAUGCAAGUGGGACGCAAGGACACACACUGUGCUUGCACACCGUGUUUUCUUGAGUCGCGAACGGGUGAGUAACGCGUAGGUAACCUGCCUAUUAGCGGGGGAUAACUAUUGGAAACGAUAGCUAAUACCGCAUAAUAUUAAUUAUUGCAUGAUAAUUGAUUGAAAGAUGCAAGCGCAUCACUAGUAGAUGGACCUGCGUUGUAUUAGCUAGUUGGUAAGGUAAGAGCUUACCAAGGCGACGAUACAUAGCCGACCUGAGAGGGUGAUCGGCCACACUGGGACUGAGACACGGCCCAGACUCCUACGGGAGGCAGCAGUAGGGAAUCUUAGGCAAUGGACGAAAGUCUGACCGAGCAACGCCGCGUGAGUGAAGAAGGUUUUCGGAUCGUAAAGCUCUGUUGUAAGUCAAGAACGUGUGUGAGAGUGGAAAGUUCACACAGUGACGGUAGCUUACCAGAAAGGGACGGCUAACUACGUG